GAAAUGCGAUAAGUAGUGUGAAUUGCAGACCGUGAAUCAUCGAAUCUUUGAACGCACCUUGCACUGUCUGGAAUUCCGGACAGUAUAUCUGUUUGAGUAUCAUUUCCCUCUCUCAUGCCAAAUGCUCUUACGAGUGCUUGGUACGAGGAUAUGAAGGCUAAUCCGCUGACUUUGGUCGCGUGGGUUUCCUGUCAAAGAACAUCCGACUAGUCUGUGCCACUGCUGCUGACUCUGCUCACGUCCGCAAGGAAUGUGCAUUGGAAGCAAGCGCGGCGGGACGUGUCAGAAACGUUGCCAGGGGUCACCCCUUGAAACUUGAUCUCAAAUCAGAUAAGACUACCCGCUGAACUUAAGC
rnacentral:misc_RNA from 1 species